AAACCUAGUACUGGAGAUCAUAGUGCUUGUAAAAUCAUUCUGUGUCUGGCUCUUGGAGCACGAUGCACAAAGCGGAGAAGUACGCGUAGGGUAGCCGAAUGGCAUACUCUAGGUGUUAUCUUGCCUCAAUUGCAACGAGUUGUUACAGACUGUCCUGGUGCUAUUCAGAUCCUAAGUUAGCCAACUACAGUGCCUUUCAAACCUCAGACAAUCGGUGUGCGAGUUAUUUUACCUUAUGCCUGUGAGUUAAUAGAAUACACAAGGCAAGAAUUUGGAUUCGUGUGUCGCGUUGAGAACAGGCAACUAUCACAUGGCCUAUAUUGCGGUUCGAAUUGUGUGGGACACGUGUUGUAUAAAGGGAUUGGAACCGGUUUCGGAAUUCAAUCUUGCUCGUGACUUUACGACCUUAGAACCGAUCGUUGUAACGCGCAAUUUACACUGGCUUACUGAUUUUAUGUGCACUUUCAGAUUUGUUUCAAACUUUAUCAAUGUAACGAUGAUAAUUGAAUCUCAGAACAGUGCUAACGAAAUUUUGCAACGUUUCGCGUAACAGAUCUAAACAACGGAUGAAACAACGCGCAUUCAGUGAAUUCUUGCAGUAGUAAAACGCGAGGAGAGCGCGACACGAGGCCAUUAUGAGUAGUACAAAUUAGGUAUUGUAAUCGUGUUGAGCCAGAUAUAAAGGAUUGGAAAAUUAUAUCAACGAGGAGAAUAUGGAAGUUCGUAAAAGCUUGAAACGAUUGGAACGAGGGAAAAAGUAAUAUUAAUAUAAAAGAAAUAAAGAAGUCUGAUGCAUUAAAACGGUCGAAGAAGAUGUAAGUCCAAGGAAAACGGAAGAAAUAAUCCUUUCAACGAGUUGCUCACUGAUUUUUCUACGAAGCUAAAGCAAUUCUUGCACCGUUUCGAACGUCUGGCUAUAAAGGACUUAUCUACUUGCUGUGGCAUCCGGUCGUGACUUUUAGUGCGCCGCCUCAUCGGCAAAACGAUCCAAUGUCUAUUAUCGUUUUCCGGUCUGACGACAUAUUACCCACGCGGAAUAUCUCGUCGGCAAUGUUACGUUGCGUGGCUUUCCGUGAAACUAGUUACGUCGUAUGAAUCACAACGGCGUCGGAAUUUAUGAAGCUUUCUGUCUGGAUGUUACUUCGAUUACUUACGACCCGGAGAAAAAGAUCAGCGAGAACGGAAACCAACGGGUAAUGAAUUCUCCGUGCACGAGUUAAUGCGCUCACGUUCGAGACGCAAUCGCGGUCAUUAUAUUCGAAUUAUGCCGGUAUCGAGCAAUUUCUUUCUACUCGAAGCUCGCUGUAUAUUAUAUGAAUGCAAACACAUCAAAAUACGUUAUGUAUCUGUAACAGAUUUAAUGCAGAUGCUUUUGAAAAUGUUACAAAAUAAAUAUAACAAUGAAUUUAUCGGCGCGUUAAAACGUUGGCCAAUAUUUUAACUUGACCGUGCAACUGUUGCAUAUAAAUGUUAAUGUGCAGUAACCCGAAACCUACACGUCAAUGAUUAUUCGUAUGACCGUCGAAGCCAUUACGGUCUUCCUACGCUCUCCAGGAAAGCUGUGAAACUGAAAGAAAAAUUUUUUAAACAAAGAGGAACUUACAAUAAGAAGAAUGAACAGUUGGCUUGAAGAAUUAAUGAACUGGUUGGCUUGUCGGGGAUAAUUUGUGGUUUAAUCACGUAACCAUCGUUAAACGUUGGCGGAGAAGAAAACUCAAAUCGCCAGGCCUGUGGCUGUUUUCAUUUCCGAGGUAGACAUAUUCCGUUUAUUUUUUAAUAUCCGUUCCAUUAGCGUAUCCUUUGAAGUGGCGAUUGUGCCGCGAGCAAUGAAUAAGUGAAAACGACUGACAGAGAAAUGGCUGGCGACGAAUAAAGGUAGCGACGAGCAGAGAUUCGACCAACAAUAAAAAGUGAAUAAUAGUGAAAUACUAAAAACCUACUAUUCCUUGUUUAGUACAGCAAUGGGCGAGAUAACUGUUGUUAAAGUAUGAAAAGAACAACGAAGUUCAUAAAAGAAAGAGAUAUAUAAAGAAUGAGGUUGUUGUAAGGUAAUCGUGUAGAUAUUGCGGAAAUCUUAUCAGAUCUGCUGGUCGCUGAAAAUUUAAAGGUGACAACGAAUACAAUAGAAUAAACGAGAUAUAAACGAGACACGAAGAUGACGAGACACCAAAUUUUCAAUUCUCUCGUACAUCUUGUGACUACUUCUAAUCAUACUUUUAAUUUAAAAACACUAUGCAUUUUGCUCCAUGCAGAAUAAAAUCCACCACGUGAUAAUGUUAUUAAGGAUAAUGGUUCUCUUAACGAGGAGCGAUACAAAAUGAUGGUUCUCAUAACGAGGAACGCUACAAGACGAUAGUUGCCGAAAUGGCGAACUUUAUUCCCCAAUAAAGAGAACAUUUACCGGUUUCCUAGGUGACCGAAUCUGUUACUGAAAACGUUUCAAUCAACAAAGUUCUAUCGGCAUUCAAAGAUGUAAUUUUACCGCAAUUACGGUCAACAUCUAGUAAAAUCGCAGAGGGGUUAAACAUUCAACAGACGUACAAACCGAAAACUACUACAAUGUCACCACCAAUUUUGAUACAAUCCAACACUCCUUUGGCAACUAGUAACUCGGAACAACAAGCGACGAGUGAAGAAACGGACGUACAAGGGAAUAAGCAGUUUGAUCUACAAAUGGUACAGAGGAACCUUAAGCAGCAACGGGGAUGCGCUACCGGUAGAGACGGA